ACGACAAAUUGAACUCCAAGGAAUGUGCGACGGGUGAAAUACCAUAGAAGCCCCAGGUCAUCAAUUGCUCCA